rnacentral:misc_RNA from 1 species
AAAAUUUUGACCAUAUGCUCAGUUUUAUCGGCUGAUAAUCGGAUCUUUUUUUAACAUGUAAUGUUUCCAUUUUUGUUAUGUGAUUUUCUAUUUUUAGGGGUUUGUUGAUGAAGACUCACUCCUCACUUCCCUGGAGAGUAGGAGAUUGAUUCGAUUUUCAGUGUCUUUUUAUUUGCUCCCGAAAUUUUCCUUUUUUGGUUUUGCCAGUGGUUGUUCU